CAAGAUCAAAACAUAAACAAAAGUGGAAGCAUCAUAACAAAACGUAAUCGUUUGGACAUUUGGUGUUCAAUACGUUUUCUAUCCGGUCACGGCAAUGUUACAUAAUGCAAUGAGCCUGCUGCACUUCGGACUAAAAUAGACCAGCGAUGGAUCGAAGAUCGUACUACGGUAGCCGCUCGAUGUACCAUGUUGCUGAACAAAUUCUCGACCUUGAAUCA